rnacentral:lncRNA from 1 species
GUGCGGCGUGUUGCGCGUGCUCUUGCCACAACUCAGCAGCAGGCUACACGCGCUAUUGAAGCUCAAGAGGCACCACCAGCUGCGCCUGCAAACAAGCCUGCAGGCAAGCGUGGCAGCAGGAAGCGCGAGCAGGUGCGUGGCUCCGAGGACAGCAAAUUUGUAAAGGGCAAGCUGCAGAUUUUGGUGAGAUUUACAGGGAUUUGUAAAGUCUCUGGCCCUUUGGCGGUCUGGAACUGUGCACCGGCCGGCUCCGAAAUUUGCACCGGGCGUGGCACUGGGUACCUGCGAGUGGCUGCCUGUGCGGCCUGUGCGCGAUUCCCCUUUCCCGUCCCCCGCCCUUCCCCCGGCACCCGCCGCUCUCCCGCUUGCUACGCUGUAUUGCUCUACACGAGAGCUACUACUUGGGCUUGAAAGCGGAGCGAACGGUGGGCUGGCGAGGGAGAACGCCAAACAUGCACCGGGGCGUCGGCCGAAGUUUGCACCGGUCAGGCCCCGAACUUUGCACCGAAAAAGGGCCAGUGAUUUUGCAAAUCCCUGUAUAGGAUUUCCCAAGGCUGAAUGGCUGCCCGCGGCUCAGCUGCAAGAGGAACUGAGCUCCGACGCUUACCGCGCGCUUAGCAAGGCGAUGAAGAACUGACGCUAGUCGCUAUUAACUAAAAAAGCAAAAAAACUAAGAAUAGCCUCCAUUGUUCGACUCCAGAGUUUCAGCCGAGUUUCCUCCGAGUUUCCUCCGAGUUUCCUCCGAGUUUUGACUGAGUUUCCUCCAAUUUUUGACUGAAUUUCCUCCGAGUUUUUGACUGAG